UGGUUGGAGAGGAGACUUUGGGUAUCUUUAGCUGCUGGUUCAUCAUCCCUUGUGGAGUAGCUGUGCUUUUGUCGUCUCCUGAUGUCUGGGGAUGUCAACUAACAUUCCCACUGGCAAUGCCUGGACACAAUCCAGGAGAUGACAAACACAAAGCAUGUCAUAUGCUCCUUGAGGACAUGUUUCAGCUUGAUGGCUGAGCAAAGGGGCUGUAGCGAGAGCUGCCUCUUGGGAAUGGGCAUCACUAUCCCGUUACCUCUCAUACCAAAAGUAUGGGUUCUGGGAAUACAGAGUUUGCAGUUCAGAUGUGGCUGGUGAGAUCACUUCCCUUGCCUUCAGUUUUCACAGUAUUUUCCUGAUGGCAUCUCACACCAACUUGUGCUGUAGCUUCCUAGAUAAAUUCAUGCUCAAUCCUAUCUCUGCAAUUUCCAUAUCAUGUUUAUUCAGAAUGAGUUGUUUUUGCUUCACUCAGCCCUGCGGGGUUAACCUGUCUUAUGAAAUUCAAAUGUCCUCCUCUUGCUUUCUGUCUUGUAACACUUCUCUCUCUUCCUCCUACCUCUUUGUUGGCUCUAUGGGCUGUGUUAAGCUUGCAGGAGGUACCAGAGGGUUGAGAGGGAGACUUGCCACCUUAGCCAGCUUCAGAGCCACCUCCAAUCCCUUCAUAUGGGUUGUGUUCUUUCAUAUUGUGCGGUACUUUCAGCUGUGAUGUUCAUGCUCAAAUGCUUAUCAUUGCAGAACCUUUGCUCUAGUUCCAGUCUGAGGAAUAAUAUACCAGUGGGCCAAAGAUCUAAUACAAAAAGCAUUAAGAAGAUAGGAAUUUCUCCAUCAGCUCAGCAAUUUUCAGAGUUGUGCCAAAGGAAGCUUCCUAUUUUAGGGAAUAUUUUAUCUCUCUGUUAAAGCCUAAUGCGUUGAACUGUUAAACAGGGUUUUGCUAUCGCAAAAUAAAAUGGUAAUGAC